UACGUAGGGUGCGAGCGUUGUCCGGAAUUAUUGGGCGUAAAGAGCUUGUAGGCGGUUUGUCGCGUCUGCUGUGAAAAUCCGGGGCUCAACCCCGGACUUGCAGUGGGUACGGGCAGACUGGAGUGUGGUAGGGGAGACUGGAAUUCCUGGUGUAGCGGUGAAAUGCGUAGAUAUCGGGAGGAACACCGGUGGCGAAGGCGGUUCUCUGGGACGGUACUGACGCUGAGACGCGAAAGCGUGGGGAGCGAACAGG
rnacentral:rRNA from 1 species